ACUAACUAAAAUCUAAUUAAACCAUAAUAAUGCUAAGCAAGGUUUAAUCAAAUUUAAAAAAAUCUCAAAGGAAUUACAAAAAAAAAAGAAAUAUUAAAGAAAUUUUAGAAUAAUCACAAAUAUAUCUCAAAUACAUCUCAAUUCAAUCUUAAUUUAAUCCUAAUUAAAAUACUAUUGGACUUCAUUCAAACUUUAGGCCAAAAAUUAACUAAAUCUUAAAUCCUAAAUAAAUCCUAAUAAAAUCCUAAAUCCUAAACCAAAUCCUAACUAAAUUCUAACCAAAUCCUAAAACCUAAACUAAAUCCUAAUCCUAAAUCAAAUCCUAACCAAAUCCUAAUCCUAAAUCAAACCCUAACCAAACCCUAAUUCUAAAUCAAAUCCUAAUCAAAUCUUAAAUCCUAAAUCAAAUCCUAAUCAAAUCUUAAACCCUAAACUAAAUCCUAAACCUUAAACAAAAUCCUAAAUCCUAAACCAAAUCCUAAAUCCUAAACCAAAUCCUAACCAAAUCCUAACCAAA
rnacentral:lncRNA from 1 species